rnacentral:lncRNA from 1 species
UUUAAAUGUUAAUCCGACUCGGUCGGUGCAUCUAAAUAAUUGAAUAAUUCCUCCUCAACCCCUCGGUCUCUCUGAUUCUUUAAUUAUCCCACUGCAUUUCUGGUGGCCCGUACAGGAACUGGAGACGACAGAUUUACUGUCUCCUUUGCCUGGGGGACUUAGGGCCCUGGGGCUCGGGGAGACCCGGCAUCCAAGGCGCGCCAUGGGGGAGCUUCACCUGGAUGGAGACUGGCUCUCCCCGCGUCCCAGUGCCCUGCCCGGCAGCGCAACAGAACCGGAGACUGGGCUGCAGGACGAUACCAGCACUUCAGGAACCACGUUGCAGGUGUCACACCUUGGAUUCACCAUAGCCAGCAGAAACCAGUGGCAACAGAGACUCCCGAUGAUAACCAGUGGAUUAACCAACAAGACCCAGAUCGCCCCACCUGAAUAGUCCUACGGCGAAACCCAACCACCGGUAAGAAGGACAACUGGCCUGCUCUGACCACACCGGAGGAUGGUCAGUCUAUGCACGGCUGAAGCUUGAGGAUCCUGCAAGCUCUGCUCUAGUCACAUCCUGGAAGCUGACUAGUCUACGCACAGUCGAAGCUAAGAGGACCAUAUCCGGAUAAGUUAAAGAAAGAGGGACCAAUUAACUUCACCUUUUCCUAAACUUGAAAAGACAAACCAAAUUCUGCCCUUCAUCUCCAAUGUUUGAAAGAUCAGAGGUUCCUGUCAAGAACAUGGGUCCGUGUGUGGUUCACUCUGAAGCAUCUGUCUUCCUGUGAAAGAGCUUGCGGCUGAUAAGAAAACCAAAGCUCAGAGAGGUUAUGUAAUUUGUCCAAAGUUAUCCAGCUACUCAGUGGAGGAACUGGGAUCCACACCUAAGCCUUCCAAAAUUCCUGAACCUAUGUUUCUUCUGCUCCA